rnacentral:rRNA from 1 species
UACGUAGGGGCCGAGCGUUGUCCGGAGUUAUUGGGCGUAAAGCGCGCGCAGGCGGCUUCGCGCGCCCGCCGUGAAAGCCCCCGGCUUAACCGGGGAGAGUCGGUGGGGACGGCGGAGCUUGAGGGCGGGAGAGGUCGGUGGAAUUCCCGGUGUAGUGGUGAAAUGCGUAGAGAUUGGAAAGAACACCGAUGGCGAAGGCACUUUACUGGGCUAUUACUAACACUCAGAGACGAAAGCUAGGGUAGCAAAUGGG